CCUCUUCGAUCUGCUGCGGGCAGAUGAAGUGGAUAUGCGCGUCCAUACCCCCUGCGGUGACGAUUUUCCCUUCGCCGGCGAUCGCCUCGGUACCCGGACCGACGAUGAUGUUCACGCUCGGUUGCGUGUCCGGAUUGCCGGCCUUGCCGAUGGCGGCGAUGCGCCCGUCCCUGAGGCCGAUAUCGGCCUUGACGAUUCCCCAAUGGUCGACGAUGAGCGCAUUGGUGAUGACCGUGUCGACAGCGCCUGCAGCGCGCGUCACCUGGCUCUGGCCCAUGCCGUCGCGAAUA
rfam:Ensifer sp. YIC4027 scaffold19, whole genome shotgun sequence.